rfam:Halorhodospira halochloris str. A genome.
GGGUUAAUAAUGGCCUUAUGGAAGCCCGAGUGCAAAGGUGCGAGCCAACGGACAAAAAUCGUCUAGAAGGCUCAGGCCCCGGGUAGUCAGCACAAGGUGACAAAGCCCAUCAGGUGCAGCGGAUAGGGUAAAUGCAGCAGUUGUGCACUGAAAGUUCAUGUU